rnacentral:rRNA from 1 species
GACGAACGCUGGCGGCGCGCUUAACACAUGCAGGUCGAACGGAAAGGCCUGCUUUCCCUUGUGGAUUGUGGGUACUCGAGUGGCGAACGGGUGAGUAACACGUGAGUGAUCUGCCCCCAACUUGGGUAUAAGCCUGGGAAACUGGGUCUAAUUCCCGAUAGGACUGCAGGGUGGUGCCUGUGGUGGAAAACGAUUUUCUAGUGGUUGGGGAUGAGCUCGCGGCCUAUCAGCUUGUUGGUGGGGUAAUGGCCUACCAAGGCGGCGACGGGUAGCCGGCCUGAGAGGGUGGACGGCCACAUUGGGACUGAGAUACGGCCCAGACUCCUACGGGAGGCAGCAGUGGGGAAUAUUGCACAAUGGGCGGAAGCCUGAUGCAGCGACGCCGCGUGGGGGAUGACGGCCUUCGGGUUGUAAACUCCUUUCGACCGCGAGGAAGCCACCUGGUUGGAAGGGUGGUGACGGUAGUGGUAGAAGAAGCACCGGCUAACUACGUG